rnacentral:tRNA from 1 species
GCGGAAGUAGCUCAGUUGGUAGAGCACAACCUUGCCAAGGUUGGGGUCGCGAGUUCGAAUCUCGUUUUCCGCU